CCCGUCGCUUCACCCCCGAUACCUUUCUCCUGGCAUCCCAUCCGCCCAUCUCCGCCUCCAGUGCGGCCAUCGUCGCUCCCAGCGACUCCACUCGCACCCACGCCGCCGCAACUCAUCGCCUGUACCCUAGCACCACCCACAGCUGGCCUCCCCUCCCGCCGCCGUGGAGAAAUUCCUCCGCCUCCCGGAGCUACUCCGCUGCCCCGACGCCGCUAGACGCGCUGCCGCAGGCUCUGGUGCCACAUCCACCGCGUCCCCAUCGCAGGACAGGACAAGAGAGGUCGGCUUCCAGCGGCAUCCCCCAUGCCGGACAGCGAGCUCGCCUCCGGAUUCGCCACGGCAAGGUGCAGAUCCAGUAGCAUGGAGCCCUGCCCCGGCGCGCCUGCGCGGCUUUGGCAUGUGCGGCUCCGGCGGCGCGCGGCACUGCCCCGGUCACCUGCUCCAGCCCUGCCUCACCUGACCGAGCCUUCGGAGGAAGUCUAGCUAACCUGUUAAUCUGUUACUCUAUAAACGCUGAGCGGACCUCCACGGAGACGGCGGCAGCACCCAGAGCCUCGUCUUUGUUGGCUCUUUGUCUGCCGAGUGCUAGUGAGCUGAAACUGGAAUAGCUAGCAGGAGGAGGAGGAUAUUGCAGUUGCAGGCCACAACACUGAUUUAGGACGAUGCCUUGCUGUCUACUAAGCAGGAUGUCCAGGAUGCCAUCCUCAUUCACGGCCCCAGCAAUAAGCAACUGCGAGGAGUUAUCAGUCCCCAAUAUAUUCUUGUUGGCUGUGACAAAUCAGGCGGCCGAAUUGGUCUGCUAGCGUCGAAGUUUAUGCUUCAGGCUAUCAGCGUGCUUCACAUCGUUCAUCUAAAAUUCUGCAAAACAGAAGAAGAGGAAAAAGAGCCACAAUAGUAACAGUACCACCAAUAUUUUGCCCUAAAGCUUUUUGCAGCAAAAAUGUGAUCGUGACCAAGAUGUCCAAGAAGAGAUGCUUAAUAAUAAUAAUAAUAAGAUAAUGGGCUUCCAUUAUGUGAAUAUGAAGAGACAUCACAGGAUAGCAAAUAUGAAAAAUAAUAGUGUGAAUUGUGGCUGUCCCAGAAGAUUACGUUUGCAGCCAAGCUAAUUUUAACAUUAUUGAGCCUAUUAAGAAAAUCCCUUAUGAACCUAGAAAGGAACAAGUUGUGCUCAUCAAUGAUGCUUUCAUAGACAGGACGAACAUGGAGUGCCUUUUUCAGCCGAAUGAAUUUUUAAAUGAUCAGGUCAUAAAUGCAUACAUUACGUUAUUAAGGGCUCAAGAUCAUCUGAAGUUGAGGGCUUGUGGAAAAGUCCUCCUCAAGAAUUCUCUUAUCUCUAGUAUCCUCAAGAGGGAUGAUGAUGAUAAAAUUAAAAUUGUGGAUCUAUAUCCCACACAUGACAAGAAUGAAAUUAGAACCAUUGAGAAAUGAGUUCUAUCGUACCUGAUGCAAUAACAAUACUUAUUUCCUCUCAACGACUGGGGCUGGGACACCAAUGGAGACACUGAGGUGGCUCUGAGGAGAUUGUUGUUGGUGGCACGUUAGCAGCACUUUGAAAUAGACCGGCACUAGGGUGACGGUGAGGGAUGAAUAUUGAGGGCAAGAGAGAGGUGAUGAAGUUGCACUUUGUUACUUAGAUCCUUUGAGAAAUAAGGUUGUAGGCAUCCGAAUUGCCUAACAUAGUCCCUUGAAAACUAUUUCUACUUAUGUGGAAGGCAUAGUGUGUCUCUAUUGCUACAUGUUCAAAUAAAAAGUUUCCUAUGAUGAAGAAUGAUGAUUACAAUUUGUUUUCCUCAUA